rnacentral:rRNA from 1 species
UACGUAGGGCGCAAGCGUUGUCCGGAAUUAUUGGGCGUAAAGCGCUCGUAGGCGGUUUGUCGCGUCUGCUGUGAAAGCCUAAGGCUCAACCUUGGGCUUGCAGUGGGUACGGGCAGACUAGAGUGCGGUAGGGGUGACUGGAAUUCCUGGUGUAGCGGUGGAAUGCGCAGAUAUCAGGAGGAACACCGAUGGCGAAGGCAGGGCACUGGGCCGCAACUGACGCUGAGGAGCGAAAGCAUGGGGAGCGAACAGG